CCCUUAGAUGUCCUGGGCCGCACGCGCGCUACACUGAGUGUCUGAGAUACGAGUCUGCCUGGUCCGGCAAGGUCUAAGUAAUCGCUAAAAGACACAUCAUGCUUGGGAUAGAUUAUUGCAAAUAUUAAUCUUGAACGAGGAAUUCCUAGUAAGCGCAAGUCAACAGCUUGCGUUGAUUACGUCCCUGCCCUUUGUACACACCGCCCGUCGCUACUACUGAUUGGAUGUUUAAGCGAGGUUCUCGAACUGCUAGCGACUUAGCUUCGGUGAGGUCGCAGUGUGGGAAGUGAACCGAGCUUUGGUGUCUAGAGGAAGUAAAAGUCGUAACA
rnacentral:rRNA from 1 species